CAGGUCUUGACAUCCUCUGACACUCCUAGAGAUAGGACUUUCCCCUUCGGGGGACAGAGUGACAGGUGGUGCAUGGUUGUCGUCAGCUCGUGUCGUGAGAUGUUGGGUUAAGUCCCGCAACGAGCGCAACCCUUGAUCUUAGUUGCCAGCAUUUAGUUGGGCACUCUAAGGUGACUGCCGGUGACAAACCGGAGGAAGGUGGGGAUGACGUCAAAUCAUCAUGCCCCUUAUGACCUGGGCUACACACGUGCUACAAUGGAUGGUACAAAGGGCUGCAAGACCGCGAGGUUUAGCCAAUCCCAUAAAACCAUUCUCAGUUCGGAUUGUAGGCUGCAACUCGCCUACAUGAAGCCGGAAUCGCUAGUAAUCGCGGAUCAGCAUGCCGCGGUGAAUACGUUCCCGGGCCUUGUACACACCGCCCGUCACACCACGAGAGUUUGUAACACCCGAAGUCGGUGGGGUAACCGUAAGGAGCCAGCCGCCUAAGGUGGGACAGAUGAUUGGGGUG
rnacentral:rRNA from 1 species